rnacentral:rRNA from 1 species
AACGAACGCUGGCGGCGUGGAUAAGACAUGCAAGUCGAACGGGAGUUUGUUUAUAGCAAUAUGAGUGAACUCUAGUGGCGAAAGGGUGCGUAACACGUAGCUACCUACCUCGAAGUUGGGGAUAGCUCGGCGAAAGCCGGAUUAAUACCGGAUGUGAUCGUGAGAUCAAAGCUGGGGAUCGUAAGACCUGGCGCUUUGAGAUGGGGCUGCGGCCUAUCAGCAGUUGGCGGGUAACGGCCCACCAAGCUUAGACGGGCAGCUGGUCUGAGAGGACGACCAGCCACACUGGAACUGAGACACGGUCCAGACACCUACGGGUGGCAGCAGUCGAGGUAUUUUUCUCAAUGGGGGAAACCCUGAAGGAGCGACGCCGCGUGA